rnacentral:rRNA from 1 species
UUAAGCGACUAAGCGUACACGGUGGAUGCCCUGGCAGUCAGAGGCGAUGAAGGGCGUGCUAAUCUGCGAUAAGCGCCGGUAAGGUGAUAUGAACCGUUAUAACCGGCGAUACCCGAAUGGGGAAACCCAGUGUGACUCGUCACACUAUCAUUAACUGAAUCCAUAGGUUAAUGAGGCGAACCGGGGGAACUGAAACAUCUAAGUACCCCGAGGAAAAGAAAUCAACCGAGAUUCCCCCAGUAGCGGCGAGCGAACGGGGAGGAGCCCAGAGCCUGAAUCAGCAUGUGUGUUAGUGGAAGCGUCUGGAAAGGCGCGCGAUACAGGGUGACAGCCCCGUACACAAAAGCGCAUGUGCUGUGAGCUCGAUGAGUAGGGCGGGACACGUGGUAUCCUGUCUGAAUAUGGGGGGACCAUCCUCCAAGGCUAAAUACUCCUGACUGACCGAUAGUGAACCAGUACCGUGAGGGAAAGGCGAAAAGAACCCCGGCGAGGGGAGUGAAAAAGAACCUGAAACCGUGUACGUACAAGCAGUGGGAGCACCCUUUGGGUGUGACUGCGUACCUUUUGUAUAAUGGGUCAGCGACUUAUAUUCUGUAGCAAGGUUAACCGAAUAGGGGAGCCGGAGGGAAACCGAGUCUUAACCGGGCGUUAAGUUGCAGGGUAUAGACCCGAAACCCGGUGAUCUAGCCAUGGGCAGGUUGAAGGUUGGGUAACACUAACUGGAGGACCGAACCGACUAAUGUUGAAAAAUUAGCGGAUGACCUGUGGCUGGGGGUGAAAGGCCAAUCAAACCGGGAGAUAGCUGGUUCUCCCCGAAAGCUAUUUAGGUAGCGCCUCGUGAAUUCAUCUCCGGGGGUAGAGCACUGUUUCGGCUAGGGGGCCAUCCCGGCUUACCAACCCGAUGCAAACUGCGAAUACCGGAGAAUGUUAUCACGGGAGACACACGGCGGGUGCUAACGUCCGUCGUGAAGAGGGAAACAACCCAGACCGCCAGCUAAGGUCCCAAAGUCAUGGUUAAGUGGGAAACGAUGUGGGAAGGCCCAGACAGCCAGGAUGUUGGCUUAGAAGCAGCCAUCAUUUAAAGAAGGCGUAAUAGCUCACUGGUCGAGUCGGCCUGCGCGGAAGAUGUAACGGGGCUAAACCAUGCACCGAAGCUGCGGCAGCGACACUGUGUGUUGUUGGGUAGGGGAGCGUUCUGUAAGCCUGCGAAGGUGGCCUGUGAGGGUUGCUGGAGGUAUCAGAAGUGCGAAUGCUGACAUAAGUAACGAUAAAGCGGGUGAAAAGCCCGCUCGCCGGAAGACCAAGGGUUCCUGUCCAACGUUAAUCGGGGCAGGGUGAGUCGACCCCUAAGGCGAGGCCGAAAGGCGUAGUCGAUGGGAAACGGGUUAAUAUUCCCGUACUUGGUGUUACUGCGAAGGGGGGACGGAGAAGGCUAUGUUGGCCGGGCGACGGUUGUCCCGGUUUAAGUGUGUAGGUGUGUGUUCCAGGUAAAUCCGGUUCACUUUAACACUGAGGCGUGACGACGAGGCACUACGGUGCUGAAGCAACAAAUGCCCUGCUUCCAGGAAAAGCCUCUAAGCAUCAGGUAACAUCAAAUCGUACCCCAAACCGACACAGGUGGUCAGGUAGAGAAUACCAAGGCGCUUGAGAGAACUCGGGUGAAGGAACUAGGCAAAAUGGUGCCGUAACUUCGGGAGAAGGCACGCUGACACGUAGGUGAAGUGAUUUACUCAUGGAGCUGAAGUCAGUCGAAGAUACCAGCUGGCUGCAACUGUUUAUUAAAAACACAGCACUGUGCAAACACGAAAGUGGACGUAUACGGUGUGACGCCUGCCCGGUGCCGGAAGGUUAAUUGAUGGGGUCAGCGCAAGCGAAGCUCCUGAUCGAAGCCCCGGUAAACGGCGGCCGUAACUAUAACGGUCCUAAGGUAGCGAAAUUCCUUGUCGGGUAAGUUCCGACCUGCACGAAUGGCGUAAUGAUGGCCAGGCUGUCUCCACCCGAGACUCAGUGAAAUUGAACUCGCUGUGAAGAUGCAGUGUACCCGCGGCAAGACGGAAAGACCCCGUGAACCUUUACUAUAGCUUGACACUGAACAUUGAGCCUUGAUGUGUAGGAUAGGUGGGAGGCUUUGAAGUGUGGACGCCAGUCUGCAUGGAGCCGACCUUGAAAUACCACCCUUUAAUGUUUGAUGUUCUAACGUGGACCCGUUACCCGGGUUGCGGACAGUGUCUGGUGGGUAGUUUGACUGGGGCGGUCUCCUCCUAAAGAGUAACGGAGGAGCACUAAGGUUGGCUAAUCCUGGUCGGACAUCAGGAGGUUAGUGCAAUGGCAUAAGCCAGCUUGACUGCGAGCGUGACGGCGCGAGCAGGUGCGAAAGCAGGUCAUAGUGAUCCGGUGGUUCUGAAUGGAAGGGCCAUCGCUCAACGGAUAAAAGGUACUCCGGGGAUAACAGGCUGAUACCGCCCAAGAGUUCAUAUCGACGGCGGUGUUUGGCACCUCGAUGUCGGCUCAUCACAUCCUGGGGCUGAAGUAGGUCCCAAGGGUAUGGCUGUUCGCCAUUUAAAGUGGUACGCGAGCUGGGUUUAGAACGUCGUGAGACAGUUCGGUCCCUAUCUGCCGUGGGCGCUGGAGAACUGAGGGGGGCUGCUCCUAGUACGAGAGGACCGGAGUGGACGCAUCACUGGUGUUCGGGUUGUCAUGCCAAUGGCACUGCCCGGUAGCUAAAUGCGGAAGAGAUAAGUGCUGAAAGCAUCUAAGCACGAAACUUGCCCCGAGAUGAGUUCUCCCUGAGACUUAAAGUCUCCUGAAGGAACGUUGAAGACGACGACGUUGAUAGGCCGGGUGUGUAAGCGCAGCGAUGCGUUGAGCUAACCGGUACUAAUGAACCGUGAGGCUUAACCUU